CCUAGGGUGCCUAAAUGUUUAUUCAUGUCUUCGGCAUGGUUGUUUAGAGCUCGACCAUUAUAUAUAAUUCUUUGGCAGUGAACAGGAAUUUCUGUUUCUCGUUCGAUUUCGGCACACAGAUCACCAACGGACGUUUGAAAGAAGCAAGUGUUGCACCCUGUAAUGAAAACUAUGACAUAAGCAGACGACAAAACGCGAUUCGUGUUUUCGUUUAACGACCGUUCAAAGUAAAAGGCAAUCUAAACAAAGCAAUGUACAGCCUCCGCGACUUCUCUCAGAAAGAAAAAGAGCUAAUGAAAUUCGCCGAAUUGUCUGGAAUCGUUAUGAAUCCCAGAAUUCUGAGCAUUUUCUAUUUCUCAGAAGCAUCAUUGAACUCCUUCAGGCAAACACUUCUCCAGCAUCUAUCAUACAAAUGUUGAAUGAAUUAUCAAUCUUUCGUGUUCAGGAGAAGACAAGGAGACAAAAGAUGCUAAAACAUUUGAGCGAAAAAUGAUUUUGUAGCAAAUGAACUUGUUUCUCUUCAAAUAUAUUUUUUAAAUUCCC
rnacentral:lncRNA from 1 species